rnacentral:rRNA from 1 species
AUGUUAAUUCUGACCUUCUGUUGGGAGUUUAUAUUAUACCUUUCAUGCGAAGUAGUUACAUUUAUCACAUGGAAGACAAUGCCCAUGGAGUGGAAGGUGGAGAGAUUCAGACUUCGGAGUUAUGACUAUGCCGUAGGUGACAUGCGGAAAGGUGACCAAAGAGUACAUGAAGAAUUCUUGCUAUCAACUAGGGCUGGAUGCCCCCAGGAAGAAUGCCUCAAAGCAGGAAAGGAGAUCAGAGUUCAGGGCAUGUUCAGCUCCACCCAUGCAUCAAGGGAAAUAUAUACGACGCAAAUGAUAACGUGUUCUGCUAGAUGA